GUGGUGACGCCCUGCUCCCUGCCGGUCAACUAUCCAUUGCUCGAUCGCUCGGACUCUUUUGUAAACCAUGUCACCAGAACAACUUCCGGCAGUUUUUUGAAAAGCUCAUCUUUCUGCUGCGACAAACUCUCGGAAACUGCCGACUUUGAUCACAUGAUGGAGGAAGGUUAUGAACUGGACUUGACUUACAUCACAGAGCGGAUCAUUGCUCUCUCCUUCCCAGCCAGCUGCUCAGAGGAGACCUACCUGCACAACCUCCAGGAUGUCACGCGGAUGCUCAAAUCCAAACAUG